GUGAUGCUAACCCAGCUAGCACCCUGAGCCACCUACCAGACGAGGAGGAUUAGCAGGUGAUGCUAACCCAGCUAGCACCCUGAGCCACCUACCAGACAAGGAGGAUUAGCAGGUGAUGCUAACCCAGCUAGCACCCUGAGCCACCUACCAGACGAGGAGGAUUAGCAGGUGAUGCUAACCCAGCUAGCACCCUGAACCACCUACCAGACAAGGAGGAUUAGCAGGUGAUGCUAACCCAGCUGGCACCCUGAGCCACCUACCAGACAAGGAGGAUUAGCAGGUGAUGCUAACCCAGCUAGCACCCUGAGCCACCUACCAGACAAGGAGGAUUAGCAGGUGAUGCUAACCCAGCUAGCACCCUGAGCCACCUACCAGACGAGGAGGAUUAGCAGGUGAUGCUAACCCAGCUAGCACCCUGAGCCACCUACCAGACGAGGAGGAUUAGCAGG